AUUGAACGCUGGCGGCAGGCCUAACACAUGCAAGUCGAACGAGCGGCGGACGGGUGAGUAAUGUCUGGGAAACUGCCUGAUGGAGGGGGAUAACUACUGGAAACGGUAGCUAAUACCGCAUACCAUCAGAUGUGCCCAGGUGGGAUUAGCUGGUAGGUGGGGUAACGGCUCACCUAGGCGACGAUCCCUAGCUGGUCUGAGAGGAUGACCGGCCACAGUGGAGCUGAGCACCGGCCCAGCCCCCUAGGGGAGGCCGCAGGGGGGAAUAUUGCACAAGGGGCGCAAGCCUGAUGCAGCCAUGCCGCGUGUGUGAAGAAGGCCUUCGGGUUGGAAAGCACUUUCAGCGGGGAGGCGUUACCCGCAGAAAAAGCACCGGCUAAUUCCGGGCCAGCAGCCGCGUAAUAC
rnacentral:rRNA from 1 species